rnacentral:rRNA from 1 species
AGUGAACGCUGGCGGUAGGCCUAACACAUGCAAGUCGAACGGCAGCACAGUAAGAGCUUGCUCUUACGGGUGGCGAGUGGCGGACGGGUGAGGAAUACAUCGGAAUCUACUUUUUCGUGGGGGAUAACGUAGGGAAACUUACGCUAAUACCGCAUACGACCUACGGGUGAAAGCAGGGGAUCUUCGGACCUUGCGCGAUUGAAUGAGCCGAUGUCGGAUUAGCUAGUUGGCGGGGUAAAGGCCCACCAAGGCGACGAUCCGUAGCUGGUCUGAGAGGAUGAUCAGCCACACUGGAACUGAGACACGGUCCAGACUCCUACGGGAGGCAGCAGUGGCGAAUAUUGGACAAUGGGCGCAAGCCUGAUCCAGCCAUACCGCGUGGGUGAAGAAGGCCUUCGGGUUGUAAAGCCCUUUUGUUGGGAAAGAAAAGCAGCAGGUUAAUACCCCGCUGUGCUGACGGUACCCAAAGAAUAAGCACCGGCUAACUUC